rnacentral:rRNA from 1 species
UACAGAGACUGCAAGCGUUAUUCGGAUUCACUGGGCGUAAAGGGUGCGCAGGCGGUUGGGUGUGUCAGAUGUGAAAGCCCUGGGCUCAACCUAGGAAGUGCACUCGAAACUGCAGAGCUUGAGUCUCGGAGAGGAUCGCGGAAUUCUCGGUGUAGAGGUGAAAUUCGUAGAUAUCGAGAGGAACACCGGUGGCGAAGGCGGCGAUCUGGACGAUGACUGACGCUGAGACGCGAAAGCGUGGGGAGCAAACAGG